GUAUCUAUAGUAUAUAAUAAUACAUUGGUCCUUCACACCAAAGAUUUUUAACUUAAUAGAUAUU
rnacentral:tRNA from 1 species